UGAAUCAGUGCGUGGCAGUCAGACUCAGACUGGGUCGGGCCAGCAGCAGCAGCAGCAGUGAAGGAAGCGGAGGAGGAAGGAAACAUCUGGAUCUAAAGGGAAUAAAAUGUCGGAUUACACGGGUCCGCUUGAACGUCUCUGCUCCUGCUGUAUACUCGGCUCUUACCUGAGGGGGGAAUAACUGUGUCGUACCCGAAACUCCUUCGGGUACUUUCGUAAGAGAGCUCAAGUUUUCUCACACCAGCAGCUUGGCGAGCUGCCGUUGCCAUGGAUCAAUCUGUCGCAAUUCAGGAAACUUUGGAAAGGGAAGAAAACUGCAUUAUAGUAUCCUUUGAGAGAUUUGUGCGUUGGUAUUUGUAUCCACAGCUCCUCAAGCGACGGGUUACCUAUUUCAACCCAGUUCACUAUAACGUGGCUGCGUUAGAUUUCACCAAAGUCUGUAGGCUGUGAUUAAGGUUCUGCCACGUGCCUGACUGUAAAUAUAUCACACAACCUCAAUUGGGUUGUGAUUUUUAUCCAGCCAAUCCAUUCUCAGUUCUAGUUUCUGCGGUAGUUUUAGUGCUCGGGUUUUAUCGGGUGUGACUUUCCCAAAAUAUGGUCCAACAUGGUAGGAAAACGUUUCAACCACAAGGUGGCAACUUUGUUCCACCAGCUGCAGGUCUGUAGGAGGACGCAGCGUGGAGGGUGAAGAAGCUGAUGUGCAAUAUAGAUGGGAUCUAGACAGAUACAAGUUUGCAGUUACUACUAAACUUUAUGGUUGCUCGUGG